UAGGUUAACGCCACGACUUUGUACAUAACUGAUGACGGGAACAUGGCUAUAUUUCCCAAGGCUGAAGGGCAUUUUUCCUCAAUCAACCUUUCCCACCGAGGACACUACGAAGUUCAUGGGGACCCGCUCCAGUCGGGGGGUGGACAAACCGGUGGUCAACAAGGGGUAGUUCCAUUUUCCUUCAUACGUAGACCUUCUUCUGCCUCUACUUGUACUUCCACUGGUGUGACCCAACAAGGAACUCCGCGAUCAACGCGCAUCAUAGCUCCCACUAAAGAUUUCCAAAGAGCCGUUCAUGUCGCUGACAUUGUGAAUGGUAAGAUCACCUCAUCAAGGACAGUGGUGAUUCGGUUCUCUGAAGCUGAGGCCACAGUGGACAACAUUACUGCUAAAGUGCAAGAUGCAUUGGGCAGCGAGGAUUCUGUCACACUCACUGACAGCCAAGGCAAUGAAAUCAUUGACUCCGAGGCCACAAGAAGUUCACAAUACUGGAAGCAGAACUCAAGGAAAGUUUAUGCAGUUAACAAUGUAGAUUUCCUCGAGUGGAAAAGUGGAAGGAAAACCAAAGCAAGCAGUUAUAACAAAGAAACAAUUGUCAUUGCAGACGCUCUGAAGAAUCACUAAGCCUCAAUGGAGUGAUGGAAAAAAUAGAUGAGCUCAAACAUGCAGCCGAGAGUCUGCCAGACAUAACUGAGGCCAUACGUACUCUCUCUAACUUGGCUAAGACAUCACAUGAAGUUACCCUCUCCCUUGCCAGAGAUUCGCUGAACUGCCUUGUGUGCAAAGGAUUAGUAGCAGAUCCCAUGGUGUCCACCUGCUGCUGUUCCAUUGUCGGCUGCAAGAAAUGUGUGACCCAGUGGCUACUGACAUCAAGUUAUUGUCUGAAGUGUAGGAGGGAGGGCUUCCAAGAAAAUGUGCAUGAGCUUAAAGGUCUCAGUGAUGUUUUGCGCCUUUUCAACAAUUAAAAUGUAACUAGGUUUACUGAAAGACGUUCAGUGGCUGUAUUGUUGUAUCAGGUUAUGUUAAAACAGUUUACACUAGCUAUAACUGAUAGCAUUCAAAUGUUUUUAUAUAAAAAAACUGCAAAAGUGGUUCAGUAAUUUUCAAGAGGGCUCUUUGA